GGAUUUUGAUACAAUCAACUCUAAAUAAAAACAAAAAACUUCACAGUACACUAGAAGAGCCCAUUCCAUUCAUUGAUCAGGUUGGUUGGGACAUGAUCACAUUAGAAGACCACAUUUAUAGUUUCAUAUUCCAAAUAAAAUGCAUCGGAGGCAAAGUUUAAAGGCGCUAUAUUAUUUUAUCAAAAUAUAUUUGACAUAUUCAUGUGGAGCAUAGUCAAUACACCAAAUUUUGAAUAAACUUCUUUUUACCAUAAUUGCCCUCAGAAUAAUAAGGACAAAAGGCAAGCAAAUCCAAAUAUGUAGAAGGAAUUAUUUCCAAAAGAAAACAUAAUAACAGACUAUGUAGACCUAAAAGUAACAACUAACAGAUCGAAUAGCACAACUACACUGUCUAAGCAUGCUAUACCCAAAAAGACACUGAUUAAACCCAAAACAAAAACUAUCCAGACUUCUAUCUCUAUCUAUACUACUAAGUACAGCCAUAUACACAUCCCUCCAUUCCAAGCUCCAUCUUCCUGCAUGCCUCUGCAACAAUAACUCACAGAACAAGUCAAAAUAUAAACCUAACUGUGAAAUAAUUUCAGGUAUUGAAGCUAACAUCUCAACAUAGUAGAAUAGAUUAUG
rnacentral:lncRNA from 1 species